rnacentral:rRNA from 1 species
AGUGAACGCUGGCGGUAGGCCUAACACAUGCAAGUUGAACGGCAGCACAGUAAGAGCUUGCUCUUACGGGUGGCGAGUGGCGGACGGGUGAGGAAUACAUCGGAAUCUACUUUUUCGUGGGGGAUAACGUAGGGAAACUUACGCUAAUACCGCAUACGACCUACGGGUGAAAGCAGGGGAUCUUCGGACCUUGCGCGAUUGAAUGAGCCGAUGACGGAUUAGCUAGUUGGCGGGGUAAAGGCCCACCAAGGCGACGAUCCGUAGCUGGUCUGAGAGGAUGAUCAGCCACACUGGAACUGAGACACGGUCCAGACUCCUACGGGAGGCAGCAGUGGGGAAUAUUGGACAAUGGGCGCAAGCCUGAUCCAGCCAUACCGCGUGGGUGAAGAAGGCCUUCGGGUUGUAAAGCCCUUUUGUUGGGAAGGAAAAGCAGCAGGUUAAUACCCCGCUGUUCUGACGGUACCCAAAGAAUAAGCACCGGCUAACUUCGUG